GUGGUAAUCCGUGGUACCUGAAGAGAGGUUUUCUAGGUUUCUGUUUCUUUAGUGAUGACGAAACACACCUGGUUAACCGCUUUUCCAGUAUCAAAUCC
rnacentral:pre_miRNA from 1 species